rnacentral:rRNA from 1 species
UACGGAGGGGGCUAGCGUUGUUCGGAAUUACUGGGCGUAAAGCGCGCGUAGGCGGCUUUGUAAGUUAGAGGUGAAAGCCCGGAGCUCAACUCCGGAACUGCCUUUAAGACUGCAUCGCUAGAAUUGUGGAGAGGUGAGUGGAAUUCCGAGUGUAGAGGUGAAAUUCGUAGAUAUUCGAAAGAACACCAGUGGCGAAGGCGACUCACUGGACACAUAUUGACGCUGAGGUGCGAAAGCGUGGGGAGCAAACAGG